rnacentral:rRNA from 1 species
GUGCCAGCCAGCCGCGGUAAUACAGAGGGUGCGAGCGUUAAUCGGAUUUACUGGGCGUAAAGCGCGCGUAGGUGGCUAAUUAAGUCAAAUGUGAAAUCCCCGAGCUUAACUUGGGAAUUGCAUUCGAUACUGGUUAGCUAGAGUAUGGGAGAGGAUGGUAGAAUUCCAGGUGUAGCGGUGAAAUGCGUAGAGAUCUGGAGGAAUACCGAUGGCGAAGGCAGCCAUCUGGCCUAAUACUGACACUGAGGUGCGAAAGCAUGGGGAGCAAACAGGAUUAGAUACCCUGGUAGUCC